UCCAGAAGAGAAUAGAUUGAAAA
rnacentral:piRNA from 1 species